GUUAUAUGGUCAAGUGAAGAAGCGCAUACGGUGGAUGCCUUGGCAGUCAGAGGCGAUGAAAGACGUGGUAGCCUGCGAAAAGCUUCGGGGAGUCGGCAAACAGACUUUGAUCCGGAGAUCUCUGAAUGGGGGAACCCACCUAGGAUAACCUAGGUAUCUUGUACUGAAUCCAUAGGUGCAAGAGGCGAACCAGGGGAACUGAAACAUCUAAGUACCCUGAGGAAAAGAAAUCAACCGAGAUUCCCUUAGUAGUGGCGAGCGAACGGGGAUUAGCCCUUAAGCUUCAUUGAUUUUAGCGGAACGCUCUGGAAAGUGCGGCCAUAGUGGGUGAUAGCCCCGUACGCGAAAGGAUCUUUGAAGUGAAAUCGAGUAGGACGGAGCACGAGAAACUUUGUCUGAACAUGGGGGGACCAUCCUCCAAGGCUAAAUACUACUGACUGACCGAUAGUGAACCAGUACCGUGAGGGAAAGGCGAAAAGAACCCCGGAGAGGGGAGUGAAAUAGAACCUGAAACCGUAUGCGUACAAGCAGUGGGAGCCUACUUGUUAGGUGACUGCGUACCUUUUGUAUAAUGGGUCAGCGACUUAUAUUCAGUGGCAAGCUUAACCGUAUAGGGUAGGCGUAGCGAAAGCGAGUCUUAAUAGGGCGUUUAG
rnacentral:rRNA from 1 species